rnacentral:rRNA from 1 species
AAACCAGCACCUCAAGUGGUCAGGAUGAUUAUUGGGCCUAAAGCAUCCGUAGCCUGCUCUGUAAGUUUUCGGUUAAAUCUGUAUGCUCAACAUACAGGCUGCCGGGAAUACUGCAGAGCUAGGGAGUGGGAGAGGUAGACGGUACUCGGGAGGAAGUGGUAAAAUGCUUUGAUCUCUCGAUGACCACCUGUGGCGAAGGCGGUCUACCAGAACACGUCCGACGGUGAGGGAUGAAAGCUGGGGGAGCAAACCGGAUUAGAAACCCUAGUAGUCC